rnacentral:lncRNA from 1 species
GAAGAUGGAUUUGGAGAUCUUAAAAGAAGAAUAUAAAUGCUUUUAAACCCAAUCACAAGAGCUCAGUCCAAAAAAAUCCAAUAAGCCUUCAAUAUUUUGGUCCAAUAGUGGGUAAGUGAAGAACUCAAGUUGGAGGCCCAAGAAAGUGCAAGAAAAGGCCCAAGAAGCCAAGGAAGGCCUCGACCUUAUGUGAUUUUAGUUUUAAGCCCAUAAGACCAAGAGUAAGGAGGAAGGGGAAGUCCUGCCUGCACGAGAAUCCUUCCCCUAUGAGGAGUCUAACUCCUCAACUAAUUUCUCCUCUUGAUCAAAGUUAAAGAUAAGCAUGUGAUAAGGAAGGAAAAACCAAGAAGAAGACUAAAUAUGAUUCCUAGAAGAAGAAGAACCCGCAGGAAAGGAGUUUGAUAAGGAA